ensembl:piRNA 21ur-848 ncRNA
UGAACCAAUUGCUAAGUCAUC